rnacentral:rRNA from 1 species
GUAGGUGGCAAGCGUUGUCCGGAAUUAUUGGGCGUAAAGCGCGCGCAGGCGGUCCUUUAAGUCUGAUGUGAAAGCCCACGGCUCAACCGUGGAGGGUCAUUGGAAACUGGGGGACUUGAGUACAGAAGAGGAAAGCGGAAUUCCAAGUGUAGCGGUGAAAUGCGUAGAGAUUUGGAGGAACACCAGUGGCGAAGGCGGCUUUCUGGUCUGUAACUGACGCUGAGGCGCGAAAGCGUGGGGAGCAAACAGGGAUUAGAUACCCUGGUAGUCCACGCCGUAAACGAUGUGUGCUAAGUGUUAGGGGGUUUCCCGCCCCUUAGUGCUGCAGCUAACGCAUUAAGCACUCCGCCUGGGGAGUACGGCCGCAAGGCUG